rnacentral:rRNA from 1 species
AGAGUUUGAUCCUGGCUCAGAUUGAACGCUGGCGGCAUGCUUUACACAUGCAAGUCGAACGGCAGCACGGGGGCGAACCCUCGUGGCGAGUGGCGAACGGGUGAGUAAUGCAUCGGAACGGUAAUCCUUGAGUGGGGGAGUAACGCAGCGAAAGUUAGUGCUAAUACCGCNUAAGCUCUGAGGAGGAAAGACGGGGGCCGGAAAGGACCUCGCGCUGAAGGAGCGGCCGAUGUCCGAUUAGCUAGUUGGUGAGGUAAAGGACUUACCAAGGCACACA